AUUGAACGCUGGCGGCAUGCUUUACACAUGCAAGUCGAACGGUAACAGGCCGCAAGGUGCUGACGAGUGGCGCACGGGUGAGUAAUGCAUCGGAACGUGCCCAGUCGUGGGGGAUAACUACUCGAAAGAGUAGCUAAUACCGCAUACGAUCUAUGGAUGAAAGCGGGGGACCGUAAGGCCUCGCGCGAUUGGAGCGGCCGAUGUCAGAUUAGGUAGUUGGUGGGGUAAAGGCUCACCAAGCCAACGAUCUGUAGCUGGUCUGAGAGGACGACCAGCCACACUGGGACUGAGACACGGCCCAGACUCCUACGGGAGGCAGCAGUGGGGAAUUUUGGACAAAGGGCGCAAGCCUGAUCCAGCAAUGCUGCGUGCAGGAAGAAGGCCUUCGGGUUGUAAACUGCUUUUGUGCGGAACGAAACGGCUCUGGUUAAUACCCGGGGCUAAUGACGGUACCGUAAGAAUAAGCACCGGCUAACUACGUG
rnacentral:rRNA from 1 species